CCUACGGGAGGCUGCAGUGGGGAAUAUUGCACAAUGGGCGCAAGCCUGAUGCAGCCAUGCCGCGUGUGUGAAGAAGGCCUUCGGGUUGUAAAGCACUUUCAGCGGGGAGGAAGGCGUUAAGGUUAAUAACCUUGUCGAUUGACGUUACCCACAGAAGAAGCACCGGCUAACUCCGUGCCAGCAGCCGCGGUAAUACGGAGGGUGCAAGCGUUAAUCGGAAUUACUGGGCGUAAAGCGCACGCAGGCGGUCUGUCAAGUCGGAUGUGAAAUCCCCGGGCUCAACCUGGGAACUGUAUUCGAAACUGGCAGGCUAGAGUCUUGUAGAGGGGGGUAGAAUUCCAGGUGUAGCGGUGAAAUGCGUAGAGAUCUGGAGGAAUACCGGUGGCGAAGGCGGCCCCCUGGACAAAGACUGACGCUCAGGUGCGAAAGCGUGGGGAGCAAACAGGAUUAGAUACCCGAGUAGUC
rnacentral:rRNA from 1 species